rnacentral:lncRNA from 1 species
UAAGGCAUAGUGACAUUGCCUUCUCUCUCACCCUACUCUAAUAAGGCUUUAAUAUCUGGAGCCCAUAGGUGGGAGAUAAAGUAUACAUACUUACAAGACAUUUAUUGUAUAGUCAAACCAUGGAUCCAAAGAAACAAGUCAAUAAGUCGAAUCAAGAUGUGCAUGUGUGGCGAAUGAAUGGUGUAUGGUGAUGAUGGUGAUAACAAUGGUGAAAGUCUAAUUCUACUUUUGCUCUUUGAGGGGAUACAUACCUUCCUUGCUUUUUGAAACUUUAUGAGGAGAAUGAGAUGCUCUUCUUUUUCUUUUCUUUCAAGGUUCCGGGCACUUGCCCCUUUUUAUUUCCUUGUAUUUCUCUUUUUUUUAGAGCACUCAUCUCUUGAGAUAAUAUAGCAAGUGGUAGUAACAAGAUAACUUGAGCAUUUAUUCCAUAGGGGAAAACAGAAAUAUUUUUGGUUAUUCUCUCCCGGAUUAGGAGUAGAAUAUUUUUAGGUGAUUCUGGAGAUGGAAAUGGAUGGAUAUAUGUGGAUGGUACUCCCGGAGUAGAAGUAGCAUGUAUGAGUGAACGUGCAAGUGAAAUCUUGAUUUAACCACAUGACAAGCUCCUAAGGGUCUACACAGCUUGACCACACUCAAUGCUCAUAAGUAGUAAAUAGUAAAUGUGUGGCUCAAAGUCUAGCAAGCAUGUAUAUAUGGCUGUGGUAGGAAUUUAAACUCUCAUCAUACAGGAACUCAUCAUGCAAUAUUUUAAAGAUUUUCAAAGAUAAAAUUCUCCAGAAUUCUAGCAUCUCUAGGAACAGAUAAACAGCAGCUCAACCUUCCCAUAUCAUAUCCGUUAACAACUUAGACUUCAGAUCAAGUUUUCAUCCCAC